ensembl:lncRNA
UUACUGUAACCACCCAGACUACUGCUGGAUGUAUAGACUGUUACUGUAACCACCCAGACUACUGCUGGAUGUAUAGUUACUGUAACCACCCAGACUACUGCUGGAUGUGUAGUUACUGUAACCACCCAGACUACUGCUGGAUGUAUAGUUACUGUAACCACUCAGACUACUGCUGGAUGUAUAGUUCCUGAACCACCCAGACUACUGCUGGAUGUGUAGAAUGUGUAUAAGGCCAGAUGAGGCUGAGUACAGAUUACUGACUGGAGAGUCAUAAACACUGUUCCCAGAUCUGUUUUGUCUUCAGCCAACCCCUCUGGCUAGCAUGAUGGUCUGACCUUACUACAGGUCUGGGACCAGUCUAUGUGACUGGAGAGACACUGCCACUGCAUCCCAAAUGGCACCCUAUUCCCAAUAUAGUGCACUACUUUAUCAGACCCCUCUGGGCCCGCACCCUGACUACCCCUCUGGGCCCGCACCCUGACUACCCUCUGGGCCCGCACCCUGACUACCCCUCUGGGCCCGCACCCUGACUACCCCUCUGGGCCCGCACCCUGACUACCCCUCUGGGCCCGUACCCUGACUACCCCUCUGGGCCCGUACCCUGACUACCCCUCUGGGCCCGUACCCUGACUACCCCUCUGGGCCCGUACCCUGACUACCCCUCUGGCCCCGCUCCCUGACUACCCCUCUGGGCCCAUACCCCGACGACCUCUCCUGUUCUCGUACCCCAACUACCCCUCUGGGCCCAUUCCCAAACUACCCUUAUGGGGCCUGGUCAGAAGUAUUGCACUAUAUAGGGUUUAGGAUGCCAUUUCGGAUCCAGACUCUCUAGCCAGUCUGACUGUCAGCUGGAUUUAUUCAUAUACAGGACAGUGCCCAGAGUUUCUCCUCAGUGACCAACCAAGGAAAACCUCCAUGACCCACUGAUCCUUUCCACUGCCUGACUGUCAUCAUGGAACUGAAAAGACAUCUGAGUCCCAGUUGGCACCCUAUUCCCUACAUAGUACACUACUUUAGGAUUGUUCCCAUAUGGUCAAAGUAGUGCACUAUAUAGGGAAUAGGGUGCCAUUUUGGGACACAGCUUUAUAUAUAGCGUUUGUGGUAUAAUGUAAAAUGAGUGUAGAUAUUAAAAUGUGUACAUAAUGUUGUUUUUAUAUGAAAAGAGUAGAUAUUGUGCUGAGAUAUUGUUUGAGGAGGGGAGAGAUUGUUGAAUAAAGAUGCCUUGUCUUUUCUAAAAUAUGGAUUUGGUGGGUUUCAUUUGGAAUAAGGUGACGUUGCCCCUCGAUAGGGAUUUUAGGGGAGUUUGUAUUUUUCCCCAAUGAUGGUUGUUAGGAUAGGGGCUGAUCCUAGAUCUGAUCCUAGAUCUGAUCCUAGAUCUGAUCCUAGGGGCUGAUCCUAGAUCUGAUCCUAGAUCUGAUCCUAGAUCUGAUCCUAGAUCUGAUCCUAGAUCUGAUCCUAGGGGCUGAUCCUAGAGGCUGAUCCUAGAGGCUGAUCCUAGAGGCUGAUCCU